rnacentral:rRNA from 1 species
CCUACGGGGGGCAGCAGUGGGGAAUAUUGGACAAUGGGGGCAACCCUGAUCCAGCCAUGCCGCGUGUGUGAAGAAGGCCCUCGGGUUGUAAAGCACUUUCAGUGAGGAAGAACGCCUGGUGGUUAAUACCCAUCAGGAAAGACAUCACUCACAGAAGAAGCACCGGCUAACUCCGUGCCAGCAGCCGCGGUAAUACGGAGGGUGCGAGCGUUAAUCGGAAUUACUGGGCGUAAAGCGCGCGUAGGUGGCUUGAUAAGUCGGUUGUGAAAGCCCCGGGCUCAACCUGGGAACGGCAUCCGGAACUGUCAAGCUAGAGUGCAGGAGAGGAAGGUAGAAUUCCCGGUGUAGCGGUGAAAUGCGUAGAGAUCGGGAGGAAUACCAGUGGCGAAGGCGGCCUUCUGGACUGACACUGACACUGAGGUGCGAAAGCGUGGGUAGCAAACAGGAUUAGAUACCCUAGUAGUC